AUCUCCCUAAUGGUUUGUAUCUUCCUGACAGGUUGUACUCUCCCUGAUGGGCAAACACCUUAGAUCAGGAUACCUUCUGAAUUAUCCAGGCUAGUUUGUGGAUUUAGCUCUUGAAAGUAGCUGCUGGUUGUUUGAUUUCUGAAAUCCUAAUGAAUUGAGUAGUUCAAGGGACACGUAGUGUGUGUAGCUGUAGCAAUUUCUCUAGAUAACACAUGGAACAAUAUUCAGUUGGGCACGCUGAUCUGGGCGGUCAUCAUCCUCAUCAGAUAAUCUCAGGCGCACGCUGGGCGGUGUCAGGCGCAGGGGCGAUCACUUUCUGCAGGGGCGGUCUCGUCAGGCGCAGGGGCGGCGGCGGUCUCCUUCUGCAAGGGCGGUCUCGUCAGGUGGAGGGGCGGCGGCGUCAGGCGCAUGGGCGGCGAUGGCAGCCCAAUAGCAAUCGCUAGGUCUCGCGCGGCGGCAGGAAAGAACGGAACCGAACCGGUGCGCGGAUCGGGGGGGUUUUUUCACAAACAGAGAUAUUAGGCGGGGAUUGGUGGGAGGGGUUAACUGCUAAUAGAAUCAAUCUUCAUCUCUAGCUUUUGGAUUAAAAUCCUAGAGUUCUGAUCGCUGGUUUGCAUAGUUUGCAUAGGAACCGGAUUUGCAUAGCAUACGUUGUCAAAUUAAAGUUAUAAUUUAAAAGAUUAUUGAAAUUUUAGCCAUAUUUGAAGGGAGAAAACAGGGCUAACCCUAAUGGAAUGACUUCUUCCGACUAGAUCUUGCGACUCCUGUGCCCCUGAUACUUCGGAUCGAUGGAGCCUGGUUGCGGUCGCCUGCUAUGACGCCGAAGCGGGUUUGAGAAAGCAGGGACGAUGAAUUAAAGGGUUCAUUGAUUUUAUCCAUCGCGAACUGCUUCUCUCGCAGGUGCUCGUCCUACCUCAUCGCCUCGUCCAUGCCUCCUUCGCUGUCUGAAUUGUUUAGUCUCUUUUCUGCUCCUUCAGUGUCGUUUGCUCACUUCUAGUCUACCGUAUUCUUUAUCCUAGGUUUUUUUUUCACUUUUUAUGCGUGCCUAACUUCUCAGGUAGAAGUUUUCACUAUUGAUCUAUGUGGUGUUCCCAAAAUUUCUACUAGAUUGCACCGAAAUUUGCCAUCAUGCCUACAUUGGAUCUGGCUUGGCCGAAGGAGGGGCAUUUGUCUUUCUUUUUAGAUAAAGAGGGGCAUGUCCGCAUUUGUCUAGUGGUGGCCUUGCAAUUGGUUAGGCGGUUAAUUGCUGAGUUUUCAUUUAAUUGAAUUUAUUUCCUUAAAAAAAUGUUUGGUCUAGUGGUGCUUCAGCUGUGAUAUCCUUUUAAGUUUGUCGGCCAAGAUUAGUUGAUAUAAACCCAAGGGGGCGCUCCUAUAGUCCUAUGCUUUGGGGUAAAAAAGGUCUUGAGCUGCAAAAGGCCACAAGUUCCAUUGAAAUCCUCAUACCAGGUCUGAUAGAUUUUUCUGCUACAUAUCUGUAUUUCUUGGCAUGAACCGAUGGUUGACCCAACUGUUUGACAGGAAUAAUGUCUCGAGGAAGCAAAAACAAAGCUAAAGAUGUAGCAAUGGCCGAGCUGGUGACCUCUAUGAAACAACAACUCGAUUAUUACUGGUCACUAGGGGAGGACACUGACAAGGGAAUGAAUUACAUUCCUAUUUGCAAGGUUCAGCAGCAUAUCCGUGAGGUUGAUAAAUUCUCUUAUGAACCUUUCAUUUUGUCCAUUGGUCCAUAUCACCAUGGAGCUGCAAAGUUGCGGAACAUGGAUAAGAUGAAAUGGGGCUAUCUAGAUGAAGUUUGUAAAUUAAAUUCUGAGAAAACAUUGCUUGAUUACUUGUUAGAGAUUGGAGAUCUCGCACGUGAAGCAAGGAACUGUUACUCUGAGGAUGUAUAUAUGACUGAUGAGGAGUUUCUGCAGAUGCUCAUACUUGAUGGAUGCUUCAUUCUAGUUGCUCUUGGUGGAACUCAAACACUUCUAGCACACCUGCAACAGGCAGAGAGUGAGAGGUUUGCUCUUGAGAAAAUAGUUGUCGAAAAUGCCAAUGCUAGCACCAACAAUGAUAUACAAAACACAGCUAGCAACUCUGCAUGUGAAGGUAACCAAAGUGGAAGAAAGGGGGCAAAUGAAGACAGUGAAAGUGAUGAUCAAAGUGGAUUGUGGUUCAUGAGAUUCCUUUAUCAUGACCUGUUCUUACUGGAAAACCAAAUUCCAUUUUUCAUUGUCAAGAAAUUAUAUGAGCUAGCUUCAGGGAAUGCCAUUUUCUCUCCAUCUCUCACGGAUUCAUUGAAUAGAUAUGUACGACAUGCAUUGUCUUUCUAUCCAAAGGCAAUCCAAGAAGCCAAUGGGCCAGAAAACUUUCAACAUUUGCUUCACUUGUGCCAUAUGUACCUAAGGCCUAAUCCAAAAGUUGAUAAUAGCCACCAUUAUCAGGUUCGGCCUCAGUAUCUUUGUAAGUUUUUCAGUUUUGGAUGGAGAUAUUUUAGAAUUGGUCAACGUUCUGAAGGGAAUGAGCAGAUCCAGCCAGUUGGGCAGGAGGGUUUCCCAUUGCCUGGUCAUGAGCUAAACCGCUGGCGGAGAGUAGCACAAUAUAAAGAGGCCGGAAUUAAGUUUAAGAAACGCGAGUAUGAUAAUUUGGAUCCUCACUCUCUAUUGGACAUUAAGUUUGGCAAUGGUUCCAUCGAAAUUCCAUGUCUUGUAGUGGAUGAAUAUUCAGGCAGUUUUUUCAGGAACCUCAUUGCAUUCGAGCAAACAUGUCCUCAAUUUGGGGAUGAUUUUACAGCUUACAUCGUUUUCAUGUCACAAAUUAUUAGUAUGCCAGAAGACGUGGGAAUACUUGUUGAAAAAGAAAUCAUUGUUCACCACCUUGAUAGUGACAGACACGUAUCAGAUCUAUUUACCUUGCUCAGCAAAGAUGUUGUGUUUGAUUUCAAUGGUAGCUACUACUUAAGAUCACUUUGUCAGUCUAUGGAAGAACACUACCAGAGUCGUCUGAACCGAUGGAUAGCAUGGCUCUGGAUGAACCAUUUCAGUAAUCCAUGGUUGGCCUUAGCUGCAUUAGGCACUGUUGUUGUGCUUGUCUGCACUAUAGUACAAACCAUCUUUACUGUGUUAGCAUACAUGAAACCACCUAAUAUGAAUAACAACUACAAAUAAGCAGACCUGAACCACAAAUUUCCAGGAUUUCACAUCCUCUCUUUUUUUUUCCAAUGUAUGUUAUUUGACAAACAUUUGGAUUUUUCCUAUUCUAUGAUUUUUUUCUUUUUCGCCGAACACGCAGGAAUUGCAUGCCAUUGCAUUAAGAAGAUGAAAUGGGUUUAUAUUAGCAUUUUCUAUACUGUUAAUUCGAAGACAUUGUUUCAUGCAAUAUUUAUCUUUUGUUUGGGGAUACAAGUAAUUAAUUGCGCCUACCAUAUUCUUCUCUACCUUAAGUUGGGUGGAGAGUGAUGACCAUGCCUAACUGGCAGAUCUGAAUCCUGGAAUCAUAGGAUCUUGAAGAUAUUGAUUCCACCUAGUGACAUAGGUCAUUUUAAGGAGUUAAGCGCUACAGUGACAGCACAGAUGCAAGAUGGAUAUAAAAAGGCUGAUCUGGUAGAGGACGAGUCCAUCGUGUUGCCCUCAAGGCCUUGUUGAAGAUGCCUUCCAAGCCAGCCCUCACCCUUGCCAUUCUCCUGGCAAUGUUCGCUGUAUUCUCACUUGCUGCAGGCCGACAUGCCCCAGGUGGUGGUGCGGGGAUUCCCUUGGUUCAUGAUCUGAAUGGGGUUCCAAAGAUGAAGGUGGGAGAAACAAGCAAAGCAGCAAAAGGAAAGCAAGAAGGCAUGGAUGCUAAAGAAGAGAAGCUGAUAAUCGGCCUGCCCAAUAUCAUGGUGUUUCCUCGACGCCUCCCUCCGUCGUGCAAGGCCAAGGCCUGUUAGCCAAGAUAUUGCUGCCCACACGGAGUGGGAAGACGCAUUCUACUCUGGUCUACUUUAGCUAUUGAAUAAUUGAAGUAUAGUCAAUUAGUUUUGUAUGAUGAUCUACUCCCCGCCAUAUUCUAGUUAUAGCCUAUCUCGUAGUAUGUACAAGGUUCCUAACAAGGAGAAUACCCAGCUUUCUGAAUAGAACCGCAGAUUUCGAACGAAUCAGAUGUAUAAACGGGCAGGGGGUUGGGGAAAGAAAGAAGACAGGCAGGGGAUUUGGAUUUUUGCCAUCCAAAUUUCUCAAACGGGCAGGGGGUUGGGGAAAGAAAGAAGACAGGCAAAAUAAUCAAGUGACGAGAUCACCAGGAAUCGCUCCGUUACAGAGAGAAUCAGCCUGUCCCCGGCCACCACCAUUUCACUCUCGUCCGAUAAUUACCAGGGCAAAUACUAGAGGAUAGCGUCAAUCCUCGGUGGCCAGUCCGCCACGCCGCUACCACCUCCUUCAUCCAUCAGUCCGCUCCUCCUCUCACCCUCCAUCUCCUCGUCUAUCCCAUUCAGAUAACUUCAUUCGGCUGGUUCUGUAACCCCGGCCAAAUGGCUGCACGUCCACCAUAGCUGCAUCAGCGACCGCACCGAAUCCCACUUAUUCUUGAAUGAGUUAGUUCGAGCCUUUAAAUUGCCACCAAUUUUGUGAAUCUUUCUUCGCUAUAAAGGGUUAUCCUUUCCUUCCUAGGUGGAUCUAAGACCGGCUCCGGAAAUUCUGGCCAGUCUGAAGGCUACAAUCGCAGGUAAUUUGUGUCAGCUGAAAAAAAAUCACUUGCCAAUCCUUUAAUUCUCUCAAGCCUGGAUGGUGUCCUGAGUGAGCAAGAAAAAUGACUAUUGCUGAAAGUUCUAGGUCGAAAUAUAUAGACAUGGAUAAGAUGGUCAGUUUCAUGACAAAGGAAAUAAACUAUUUCUGGUCACUGUAUGAUCCGUCUGAUGAUGAUACCAAGAUUUGCCCAAUCUAUAGAGUCCCAGAACACAUAUUGGAGAUUGAUCGCAUCCCCUAUGAACCAUUUGUUGUAUCCUUUGGUCCGUACCACCAUGGGGCUCAACACCUCGAAGCCAUGGAGAAAAAAAAGUGGGAAUACUUAGACAGGGUGCUGAAAUUGAACCGUGAAAGAACUCUUUGUGAUUACCUUAAAUCGAUCUCUGGACUAGAAAAACAAGCAAGGAAAUGCUAUUCAGACGAGAUAAAAAUGGAAAGAAAGAAGUUUCUACAGAUGCUUUUGCUUGAUGGCUGCUUCAUACUAGUGAAUAUUGACGAAAAUGUUGGCACCAGGGUAUCAAAUGCAAGGGUUUUGGAGCCAAGUUCCUUCCAUAAAGAAACUGACGAAAAUAUGGGAGGAGAAGCUGCGGCAAAUUUAAAAGAUUCAUCUGGAGGAGUUGGGCCGAGCAAAUAUAAGGAACAUGGAUAUGCCAUGGAGCUAGAACUGAUUAAGGUAGAAGCUAGUCAAGAAAGUGGUGGGCAAAAUGAAAUAGGGGAUGCAAACCACAUGACAAACAUGGAGAACUGUAACAAUGCUGGAGAUUGGUUGAGUUGUGCUACAUGGCAUGACAUGUUCUUGCUGGAGAACCAAAUACCAUUUUUCAUUGUUGAGUGCAUCUACGAACUAGUUACAGGUACAGCUGAGUCACUUUGUAGCAAAACUGCCGAAUUUGUAGAGGCAAUCUUGGGACACUAUCCAAUUGCUAUACAGGAAUUUGACAGACCCAAGCAAUUCCAUCAUUUGCUCCACCUAUGUCACAUGUACUUCAGACCUAGUAAGAAAAUUGAUGAAGAGCUUGUGUGUCAGCCCAGGAGAAGGUAUUUCGUUAAUCUUUUACAUCUUGGGUACAGAUUCAUUGAAGUUGAUCAUAAACCUGUUGAUGCUGACAAAAACCUAGAACAGAUGGAUUGCUUCCAAGCUGGAAAGCUUCGGACUCGCUGGCGCCGUGCAGUAGAAUACCAUCAAGCAGGAGUUCAAUUCAAGAAAAGGCAGUAUGGCGAACAAAGUAAGCAUUCGCUCCUGGACAUAAGGUUUGUGGAUGGGGUUAUAGAAGUUCCUUGUUUGCCAAUUGACGAGUCCAGUGAAUCACUUUUUAAGAACCUUCUGUCACUUGAGCAAAUAGACCGCAGGUUUGGCAAUGACAUCAGUGCAUAUGUCACUUUCAUGUCCCAGGUCCUCGCUACACCGGCUGAUGCCACAUUGCUUGUUCAGAGAGGCAUCAUUGUACAUAUGUUGGAUAGCGAUGAUGAGGUGUCUGAACUAUUCACAAGACUCACCAAACAAGUGACAUUCAGAUUUGACUGGAACUACUACUUAAAAUCUUUAUGCCAAGUGUUGGAAGCCCACUACCAGAGUCGCCUGAAUAGAUGGAUAGCUUGGUUGUGGCUCAAUCACUUUGGAAAUCCGUGGUUAGCACUGGCUGCUUUAGCUGGUAUAGUGGUUCUUGCUUGCACCAUUGUCCAGACCAUAUAUACAGUCAUGUCAUAUAUCAAGCCUCCGCCAGGCAUAUGAAACCCUUUUCACUAUUCACAUGCUUCUUGAGAACAAUGUGGCUACAGGUCAUAAAUUAUGCUCUCACUGUUUCAGAUGGCACCUCACUGAUCCUCAAGAUUAUUCUGAGACUUGCAGAGUUAAUUUUGACACAUAUUUGAUAGAUUUAGAAGAUGGGGUUAUCUGGAAACAUGCUGUGAAAUUCAUGCACUGCAAAAAACUAAAUAACACAUUAAAAAUAAAAUAAAGUUCUUUUGUUGGUUAAGCAGAGACAUUUCCAGAGAAAUAUUUUUUUGAAACACUUAGCUAGGCUGUACUGAGAUACCAAAGUGCUGUAUACUCCAACUCCAAUCACAAUAUAUCGAUGACAUAAAGGUUGUUCUCAUACUUGAGUAAAUCAGUUAUAUUGUCGGCGGACUGUAGAAAUUAGGGUGGUUUUGUUUUGAGGAGUGGGGUGGCUCCGUGGUUCAUCAUCUUCUCACUAAAUUUGGCCUGUGGAGUGGAAUGGGCUGAUCCCUCACCACCCACAAGUACAUGGUUAGCUUAAUGAUGAGGAACAAAUUUCAUGGGAUCAACUCAUAUGAUGGACCACCUCAAAGGCUCAAACCAAACACCCCAUUAAUGUGUGCGCUCUGGUAAAGAUGCAAGAUUCAUUUGUUCCUGUUUGAAAGUACAGUACAGCACUUACAUAUUUGAUUGCCUGUCUGCUGUUGCUACGCUUUUGUGCAAGUUCCAGCUGCAUAACUUCGCACGAUCUGAACUUUUUAAGUUGUACCUUUGCACUAUCUGAACUUGGUGCCGCAGGUAGCUUCCUAUGAACAGCCUUUCUGAAUACCUUGUUACAUGUGACCUCAGCAAAAUAGGAGGGGAUUUUUGAAACUGUAUGGCACCUUGUGUUUCCAUUUGGUUGCGAAAACAAUUAGUGAGACCGCUACAGUUUCUUUUAUGUUCUAGCUAGAUGUUUAAUCAUACUGUUGCAAAGUUUGUUUUGGCAUUGACAAUGUAGCUCUUAUAUCAUUGUUGUAUUCGCCAGCGAUGAACAGAACAAGGCCUUGAAAUGGGCUUCUGGCAUGCGUACUGUAACGCAGGAUAUGGUAGGUGGAAUUUAGACCGAAUAAUACUAGCACGAGGUCCCUAGCGAGAUAUCCCAUGAGGAUGGCCAAAUUCCUGUCGGAUCGAUUCUAGAGGUCACCUUCAAUGCAGUCAAGCUACACUCGAGCGCGAUGACGAGACAGUCUGUCUAGUGCCUUCUACAAGAUAUUGAUGCCUUCUGGCAGAUGGCCACACUCCAGUCCUGAGUCCUGACUGAUUGGGGUCUCUAUACAUGCCGCCAUGCUGGCGCUAACUCCAUUUCAUCUAAUCAAACUACAGCCGCUUCCCCUCGUGCUGUCAAGGCAAAGGACCAUGGCUUCCAAACUGCUCAUAACCUUGACCAUCGUUCUCGUUCUCACCCGAGAGCACGCCCUUCCCACAGUGGGCCUGAAGACAUACGCAGAUCCAAAGGACGCCGGAACACAGCAAGGCGUCAUGCAGGCACAAGCUGGGCAUGCUGCAGGCGCCGGCUUCACUGAGGAGAAGGGCUGGUUCGCUUCCACACGGCCCUUAGCACGUCCGCCGCCUCUUAAUCCUAACAGUGCUUCCACUAGGAACCGUUGAAAGCACCAGUCACCUCAUACUAUAGUCCCUCUACAAAAUAUACGGGGCACUUCGUACUUGGGUUAAGUAUAUCUUCCAGUUAUACUAGUUACUGCCGUGCUGGUACUUUCAGUAUGAUGUGUGUACCCUUCAGUGGCAUGCAAGUAAGCUGCUGCGUUAUGAAGGAGUUGCCUAUCUAGCUAUUAAAUAGUGCAUGGUGUGGUAAUAGUACAACUAAUAAGUACGAGAAAUGCAAUCGAUAGUUCAACUGAGAAGAACAUGUAUACUCCAAAGUUCUUUGUUAAGAACUGAGAUUACUCUGUACUUGUAAUUUAUAAAUAUACAUCGGACAGCUUCGUUUCUUUCAA